CCCGCGGUAAUACGUAGGGUGCGAGCGUUAAUCGGGAAUUACUGGGCGUAAAGCGUGCGCAGGCGGCCUUGAAAGUCAGAUGUGAAAUCCCCGAGCUCAACUUGGGAACUGCGUUUGAAACUCCAAGGCUAGAAUAUGUCAGAGGGGGGUAGAAUUCCACGUGUAGCAGUGAAAUGCGUAGAGAUGUGGAGGAAUACCAAUGGCGAAGGCAGCCCCCUGGGAUAAUAUUGACGCUCAUGCACGAAAGCGUGGGGAGCAAGCAGGAUUAGAUACCCUGGUAGUCCACGCCCUAAACGAUGUCUACUAGUUGUUGGUGGAGUAAAAUCCAUGAGUAACGCAGCUAACGCGUGAAGUAGACCGCCUGGGGAGUACGGUCGCAAGAUUAAAACUCAAAUGAAUUGACGGGGGCCCGCACAAGCGGUGGAUUAUGUGGAUUAAUUCGAUGCAACGCGAAAAACCUUACCUGGCCUUGACAUGUAGCGAACUUUCCAGAGAUGGAUUGGUGCCCGAAAGGGAGCGCUAACACAGGUGCUGCAUGGCUGUCGUCAGCUCGUGUCGUGAGAUGUUGGGUUAAGUCCCGCAACGAGCGCAACCCUUGCCAUUAAUUGCCAUCAUUUAGUUGGGCACUUUAAUGGGACUGCCGGUGACAAACCGGAGGAAGGUGGGGAUGACGUCAAGUCCUCAUGGCCCUUAUGGCCAGGGCUUCACACGUAAUACAAUGGUCGGUACAGAGGGUUGCCAACCCGCGAGGGGGAGCCAAUCCCAGAAAGCCGAUCGUAGUCCGGAUUGUAGUCUGCAACUCGACUACAUGAAGUCGGAAUCGCUAGUAAUCGCGGAUCAGCAUGUCGCGGUGAAUACGUUCCCGGGCCUUGUACACACCGCCCGUCACACCAUGGGAGUGGGUUUUACCAGAAGUAGGUAGUCUAACCGCAAGGAGGACGCUUACCACGGUAGUAUUCAUGACUGGGGUGAAGUCGUAACAAGGUAGCC
rnacentral:rRNA from 1 species